rnacentral:rRNA from 1 species
AUACGGAGGGAGCAAGCGUUAUUCGGAAUCACUGGGCGUAAAGAGUACGUAGGCGGUUUGGUAAGUCAGGUGUGAAAUCCCGAAGCUCAACUUCGGAACUGCAUCCGAUACUGCCAGACUAGAGUAAUGGAGAGGCAGGUGGAAUUCUCGGUGUAGCAGUGAAAUGCGUGGAUAUCGAGAGGAAGACCAAUGGCGAAGGCAGCCUGCUGGACAAUUACUGACGCUGAGGUACGAAGGCUAGGGGAGCGAAAGGGAUUAGAAACCCAAGUAGUCC